AACGAACGCUGGCGGCAUGCCUAACACAUGCAAGUCGAACGAGACCUUCGGGUCUAGUGGUGCACGGGUGCGUAAGGCGUGGGAACAUGCCCUUAGGCUCGGAAUAACUCCGCGAAAGGGGUGCUAAUACCGGAUAAUGUCUUCGGACCAAAGAGUUAUCGCCUUUGGGGGGGCCCGCGUUGGAUUGGGUAGUUGGUAGGGUAAAAGCCUACCAAGGCGACGAUCCGUAGCUGGUCUGAGAGGAUGAUCAGCCACACUGGGACUGAGCCACGGCCCAGACUCGUACGGGAGGCAGCAGUGGGGGCUGGAGGGGAGUGGGCGAAAGGCUGAACCAGCAAGGGCGGGAGGGUGGUGAAGGGGUUGGGGUCGGCAAGCUCUUUUGCCGGAGAUGAUAGUGACAGUACCGGGAGAAUAAGCACCGGCUAACUCCGUG
rnacentral:rRNA from 1 species